GCCGCCCUUGAAUCUCCCUUCUCUCUUAACUCUCUCUGAAACUCUUAUGAGCCCUAGCCGCCACCCUCUCACCCCACCCUAAUACCUACCUAAUCCAUGGCCUUCUGUGGUCAUUUGAGACCUGUACCAGCCUUCCAUGGCUCCUAUUUGUUGGUUCUAUGGUUUCAUGACCAGACCUCGAAGGAUUCUGGUCCAGUCCUUGCUCGACUGUUGUUCAUGGCCUUUCUCCGGCCAUCCACGACCUUUUCCGG
rnacentral:lncRNA from 1 species